AUGUGAAUUUCUUCCUGGUGGGAAAGCUUACGUGCGUUAGUCAAUGACACGCUUAAUCCAGAAUCAUGUCUUGGAAAGAAGGGGCAGGGAUGGCCUGACUGAAAGCAGUGGGUAGAGUCUGGAGGAAGGCCUGAAAGUGAAAACGAAAUAAGUGAUCAGCAGCUAUAUUCGUGCCAUCCGGAACGUGAAUAUAGGUGAUGAAAAAUUGUCUGGU